AGCGAACGCUGGCGGCAGGCCUAACACAUGCAAGUCGAGCGCCGUAGCAAUACGGAGCGGCAGACGGGAGAGUAACACGUGGGAACGUACCCUUUGGUUCGGAACAACCCAGGGAAACUUGGGCUAAUACCGGAUAAGCCCUCACGGGGAAAGAUUUAUCGCCGAAGGAUCGGCCCGCGUCUGAUAAGCUAGUUGGUGAGGUAAUGGCUCACCAAGGCGACGAUCAGUAGCUGGUCUGAGAGGAUGAUCAGCCUGACUGGGACUGAGACACGGCCCAGACUCCUACGGGAGGCAGCAGUGGGGAAUAUUGGACAAUGGGCGCAAGCCUGAUCCAGCCAUGCCGCGUGGGUGAUGAAGGCCCUAGGGUUGUAAAGCCCUUUCAGCGGGGAAGAUAAUGACGGUACCCGCAGAAGAAGCCCCGGCUAACUUCGUGCCAGCAGCCGCCGUAACAC
rnacentral:rRNA from 1 species